GCAAGCUAACAUUUCAGCAUGAGAAGAUACAGGACAUGUGUUUUCAGCAAAGAAGCUCACAGGAAACAUCCUGACCAGGCCCACCUGUGAAUGAAUGCAGGCAGGAAGUAAGAAACACGUUCUCUCCAGCAGCUGGCCGGAACCAGGCAAGACUGCUUCACAUCUCAGUUGCGGUACUCUGAUCUUCAUUGUCAAGUGGGCUCUAAAGUUGUGGCAUGCGGGCUGUGACUCCUUGGCAUGUGGAAUCCUAGCUCCCCGACCAGGGAUUGAACCCGUGUCCCCUGCAUUGCAAGGUGGAUUCUCAACCACUGGAUCACCGUGGAAGUCCCCCUCUGAGGUCAUUUUGAGCCAGAUUUACAAUGAUUGGAAUCCACGUUGUUCAUAGCA
ensembl:lncRNA